UGGUCCAGCCUCCCUGCCCCUCUCCAGUGAGGGAGACUCCACAGCCUCUCUGGGCAAUGUGUUUCAGUGCUCGAUCACCUCGACAGUAAAGUUGUUUAUAUUCAGGUGGAACUUCCCUUCCUGUGCAUCGGUUUCUGCCCAUUGUCUCUUGUCCUAUUACUUGGCACCACGGAGAAGAGGCUGCUCCAUCUUCUUGACACCCAUCCUUUAGGUAAACGGGUUUAAUUCCACGCAGAUAGAAGUUACAACAGCUGAAUCAGAGGCGCAGAACAGCUCUAAGCAUCCAAAUGUAUCACACUUGACUAAACCUCUUUAAUAGCAAAAGGACAUUUUACAUGGGAAGGAAGAAUAGCAAAACUGUGGAAACAAAAUGCAAAUUUAAAUGCAAAAAUGGUCUUCCAGGACAAGUCUUGAAAUUAUUGCCUGUAGAAACUGGGAUAUUUUCCCUUUCAGAGACUUGGAAGAACCUUGAAAACUGCUUUUCCUCUCUAGAGGAGAUUGCCCCCACCCCCUCCAUUUUUGCCAAGGUCUUCUGGAAACACAGCAACUCCCAGACAUGGCUGAAGGAUGCAUCCAUGGCUCAGGCUGGCCAACCAAAACCAGCUGGCAGUCUCCCCAGCACCGCAACAAUAACAAUAAAGACAGGCCAGUCUGA